rnacentral:rRNA from 1 species
UACGGAAGGGGCUAGCGUUGUUCGGAAUUACUGGGCGUAAAGCGCGCGUAGGCGGCUUACCAAGUUGGGUGUGAAAGCCCGGAGCUCAACUCCGGAACUGCCUUCAAAACUGGUAGGCUCGAGUCCGGAAGAGGGGCGUGGAAUUCCCAGUGUAGAGGUGAAAUUCGUAGAUAUUGGGAAGAACACCGGUGGCGAAGGCGGCUCCCUGGUCCGGUACUGACGCUGAGGCGCGAAAGCGUGGGGAGCAAACAGG